GGGAUAUUGCACAAUGGGGGGAACCCUGAUGCAGCGACGCCGCGUGGGCGAUGGAGUACUUCGGUAUGUAAAGCCCUAUCAGCAGGGAAGAAAAUGACGGUACCUGACUAAGAAGCCCCGGCUAAAUACGUGCCAGCAGCCGCGGUAAUACGUAUGGGGCAAGCGUUAUCCGGAUUUACUGGGUGUAAAGGGAGCGUAGGCGGCCUGGCAAGCCUGAUGUGAAAUACCGGGGCCCAACCCCGGGACUGCUCUGGAAACUGCCUGGCUGGAGUACAGGAGAGGUAAGUGGAAUUCCUAGUGUAGCGGUGAAAUGCGUAGAUAUUAGGAGGAACACCAGUGGCGAAGGCGGCUUACUGGACUGUAACUGACGUUGAGGCUCGAAAGCGUGGGGAGCAAACAGG
rnacentral:rRNA from 1 species